rnacentral:misc_RNA from 1 species
UCUCCGUUGGUGAACCAGCGGAAGGAUCAUUACAGAGUUGCAAAACUCCCAAACCAUUGUGAACGUUACCUAUCCCGUUGCUUCGGCGGGCGGCCCGGGCCCCGCGCCCGGCGCCCCCCGGCCCCCCGUGGGCGCCCGCCGGAGGUAAACCAAACCCUUGAAUUGCAUGGCCUCUCUGAGUCUUCUGUACUGAAUAAGUCAAAACUUUCAACAACGGAUCUCUUGGUUCUG